AUUCCAUAAUGGGGACAUGCUAUGAUGUACUCCUGCAGUCUUUCCCAAGCUUCCAGGAUAGAUUCCGUCCCUGUCUGCUGGAAACUUGAAAUCUUCCCGCGUAU